AACGAACGCUGGCGGCAUGCCUAACACAUGCAAGUCGAACGAGACCUUCGGGUCUAGUGGCGCACGGGUGCGUAACGCGUGGGAACCCGCCCUUAGGUUCGGAAUAACUCCCCGAAAGGGGUGCUAAUACCGGAUAAUGUCUUCGGACCAAAGAUUUAUCGCCUUUGGAUGGGCCCGCGUUGGAUUAGCUAGAUGGUAGGGUAAAAGCCUACCAAGGCGACGAUCCAUAGCUGGUCUGAGAGGAUGAUCAGCCACACUGGGACUGAGACACGGCCCAGACUCCUACGGGAGGCAGCAGUGGGGAAUAUUGGACAAUGGGCGAAAGCCUGAUCCAGCAAUGCCGCGUGAGUGAUGAAGGCCUUAGGGUUGUAAAGCUCUUUUACCCGGGAUGAUAAUGACAGUACCGGGAGAAUAAGCUCCGGCUAACUCCGUG
rnacentral:rRNA from 1 species